GACGAACGCUGGCGGCGUGCUUAACACAUGCAAGUCGAACGAAGUGGCGAACGGGUGAGUAACGCGUAAUCAACCUGCCCUUCAGAGGGGGACAACAGUUGGAAACGACUGCUAAUACCGCAUACUGAAGGAGGGGAUUGCGUCGGAUUAGCUAGUUGGAGGGGUAACGGCCCACCAAGGCGAUGAUCAGUAGCCGGUCUGAGAGGAUGAACGGCCCAAUUGGGACUGAGACACGGCCCAGACUCCUACGGGAGGGAGCAGUGGGGAAUCGUCCGCAAUGGACGAAAGUCUGACGGAGCAACGCCGCGGGAGGGAUGACGGCCUUCGGGUUGUAAAGCUCUGUUAAUCGGGACGCGGUACCGGAAGAGAAAGCCACGGCUAACUUCGUGCCAGCAGCCGCGGUAAUUC
rnacentral:rRNA from 1 species